AACGUCCGUCGUGGAGAGGGAAACAACCCAGACCGCCAGCUAAGGUCCCAAAUUACAGCUAAGUGGGAAACGAUGUGGGAAGGCUCAGACAGCUAGGAUGUUGGCUUAGAAGCAGCCAUCAUUUAAAGAAAGCGUAAUAGCUCACUAGUCGAGUCGGCCUGCGCGGAAGAUGUAACGGGGCUAAGCUGUAAACCGAAGCUGCGGCAAUGCGAUUUAUCGUAUUGGGUAGGGGAGCGUUCUGUAAGCCGUUGAAGGUGUGUUGUAAAGCAUGCUGGAGGUAUCAGAAGUGCGAAUGCUGACAUGAGUAACGACAAGGGGGGUGAAAAACCUCCCCGCCGGAAGACCAAGGGUUCCUGUCCAACGUUAAUCGGGGCAGGGUAAGUCGACCCCUAAGGCGAGGCUGAAAAGCGUAGUCGAUGGGAAACGGGUUAAUAUUCCCGUACUUCUUACAAUUGCGAUGGGGGGACGGAGAAGGCUAGGUGGGCCUGGCGACGGUUGUCCAGGUUCAAGUGCGUAGGCUUGAGAGUUAGGUAAAUCCGGCUCUCUUUAAGGCUGAGACACGACGUCGAGCACCUACGGGUGUGAAGUCAUUGAUGCCAUGCUUCCAGGAAAAGCCUCUAAGCUUCAGAUUGUAAGGAAUCGUACCCCAAACCGACACAGGUGGUCGGGUAGAGAAUACCAAGGCGCUUGAGAGAACUCGGGUGAAGGAACUAGGCAAAAUGGUACCGUAACUUCGGGAGAAGGUACGCUCUUGAUGGUGAAGUCCCUCGCGGAUGGAGCUGAUGAGAGUCGCAGAUACCAGGUGGCUGCAACUGUUUAUUAAAAACACAGCACUGUGCAAAAUCGUAAGAUGACGUAUACGGUGUGACGCCUGCCCGGUGCCGGAAGGUUAAUUGAUGGGGUUAGACUUCGGUCGAAGCUCUUGAUCGAAGCCCCGGUAAACGGCGGCCGUAACUAUAACGGUCCUAAGGUAGCGAAAUUCCUUGUCGGGUAAGUUCCGACCUGCACGAAUGGCGUAAUGAUGGCCACGCUGUCUCCACCCGAGACUCAGUGAAAUUGAAAUCGCUGUGAAGAUGCAGUGUACCCGCGGCUAGACGGAAAGACCCCGUGAACCUUUACUACAGCUUGGCACUGAACAUUGAACCUACAUGUGUAGGAUAGGUGGGAGGCUUUGAAGACGUGACGCCAGUUGCGUUGGAGCCGACCUUGAAAUACCACCCUUGUAUGUUUGAUGUUCUAACUUAGACCCGUUAUCCGGGUUGAGGACAGUGCCUGGUGGGUAGUUUGACUGGGGCGGUCUCCUCCCAAAGAGUAACGGAGGAGCACGAAGGUGGGCUAAUCACGGUUGGACAUCGUGAGGUUAGUGCAAUGGCAUAAGCCCGCUUAACUGCGAGAAUGACGGUUCGAGCAGGUGCGAAAGCAGGUCAUAGUGAUCCGGUGGUUCUGAAUGGAAGGGCCAUCGCUCAACGGAUAAAAGGUACUCCGGGGAUAACAGGCUGAUACCGCCCAAGAGUUCAUAUCGACGGCGGUGUUUGGCACCUCGAUGUCGGCUCAUCACAUCCUGGGGCUGAAGUCGGUCCCAAGGGUAUGGCUGUUCGCCAUUUAAAGUGGUACGCGAGCUGGGUUUAGAACGUCGUGAGACAGUUCGGUCCCUAUCUGCCGUGGGCGUUGGAAGAUUGAAGGGGGCUGCUCCUAGUACGAGAGGACCGGAGUGGACGAACCUCUGGUGUUCGGGUUGUGUCGCCAGACGCAUUGCCCGGUAGCUAAGUUCGGAAUCGAUAACCGCUGAAAGCAUCUAAGCGGGAAGCGAGCCCUGAGAUGAGUCUUCCCUGAUACUUUAAGUAUCCUAAAGGGUUGUUCGAGACUAGAACGUUGAUAGGCAGGGUGUGUAAGCGUUGUGAGGCGUUGAGCUAACCUGUACUAAUUGCCCGUGAGGCUUAACCAU
rnacentral:rRNA from 1 species